UGUGAGUCUGAGUGUUUAUAUGUAUGU
rnacentral:piRNA from 1 species